rnacentral:rRNA from 1 species
GACGAACGCUGGCGGCGUGCUUAACACAUGCAAGUCGAACGGAAAGGCCCUGCUUUUGUGGGGUGCGCGAGUGGCGAACGGGUGAGUAACACGUGAGUAACCUGCCCUUGACUUUGGGAUAACUUCAGGAAACUGGGGCUAAUACCGGAUAGGAGCUCCUGCUGCAUGGUGGGGGUUGGAAAGUUUCGGCGGUUGGGGAUGGACUCGCGGCUUAUCAGCUUGUUGGUGGGGUAGUGUCUUACCAAGGCUUUGACGGGUAGCCGGCCUGAGAGGGUGACCGGCCACAUUGGGACUGAGAUACGGCCCAGACUCCUACGGGAGGUAGCAGUGGGGAAUAUUGCACUAUGGGCGGAGGCCUGAUGCAGCAAAGCAGCGUGCGGGAUGACGGCCUUCGGGUUGUAAACCGCUUUCGCCUGUGACGAAGCGUGAGUGACGGUAAUGGGUAAAGAAGCACCGGCUAACUACGUG